CGCUAGCUACAGGCUUAACACAUGCAAGUCGAGGGGCAGCGCAGUGUAGCAAUACAUGGGCGGCGACCGGCGCACGGGUGCGUAACGCGUAUCCAACCUUCCCGUUACUCAGGGAUAGCCUUCCGAAAGGGAGAUUAAUACCUGAUGGUGUUUGAAUUCCGCAUGUUAUUCGAACUAAAGAUUCAUCGGUGACGGAUGGGGAUGCGUGACAUUAGGUAGAUGGCGGGGUAACGGCCCACCAUGCCCACGAUGUCUAGGGGUUCUGAGAGGAAGGUCCCCCACACUGGAACUGAGACACGGUCCAGACUCCUACGGGAGGCAGCAGUGAGGAAUAUUGGUCAAUGGUCGGAAGACUGAACCAGCCAAGUAGCGUGAAGGAUGAAGGUUCUAUGGAUUGUAAACUUCUUUUAUACGGGAAUAAAACCUCCCACGUGUGGGAGCUUGUAUGUACCGUAUGAAUAAGCAUCGGCUAACUCCGUGCCAGCAGCCGCGGUAAUACGGAGGAUGCGAGCGUUAUCCGGAUUUAUUGGGUUUAAAGGGAGCGUAGACGGGGGAUUAAGUCAGUUGUGAAAGGCUGCGGCUCAACCGCAGCACUGCAGUUGAUACUGGUUUCCUUGAGUGCGGUUGAGGUGUAUGGAAUUCGUGGUGUAGCGGUGAAAUGCUUAGAUAUCACGAAGAACUCCGAUUG
rnacentral:rRNA from 1 species